AUACCUUUCUCGGCCUUUUGGCUAAGAUCAAGUGUAGUAUCUGUUCUUAUCAGUUUAAUAUCUGAUAUGUGAGUCAAUGACUCACACGAUAUUAAAUUAAUUUUUUUAGGGGGAAGGUCCAUUACAGUAGCUUGCUACUGGACUGGGAUCUUCAAGCGUCGCCCAUGCCUUACACUAUUGCAAGGGCCUGGCGCACCCCAC